rnacentral:tRNA from 1 species
GGCCCCAUCGUCUAGCCUGGUUUAGGACAAAUGGUUCUCAGCCAUUAGACACCGGUUCAAAUCCGGUUGGGGCUGCUA